UUUAGUUCCCCAAAGUAAUAAUAUGUGGUUCAGCAAAUACAGACACAAUUCUAGAAGAAUUUCUCUUAUGAGAAUAAGAAACCCUUGGUUGUUUCAUUUGAUUUUUCUUCAUGGUCUUUCAAGUUCAGUUCUUUACAUCUUCUCGGCUGGGCUGUUCUAAUUUCAGAUUUUCUGAUGGAGCUUACUCCAAGUGUUAGUUGAGAACUCCGAUGGAGCUUACUUUAAGUCUCGGUUGGAAACUCUGAUUGUAUGCAUUCACACGGUCAUUUGAUAAUGAAGUAUUUGCAGUUACAUGUUGUCGGAUACACUUCUAGAUUUUGAUUGUUAUCUUCCAGUUUCCUAUUCAAAUAGAGAAAAUCCUCAGAUUGUUCCUGCAGAAUGACCUACCAACUAUCCCAUCAAAAGUUUGUUGCAGUUGAUAUGUCUUUUGGAGGAAGAGAGAAGACAAAUCAAACUCCAGCUAACGCAACAAGAAGUUCUCGGUUGUUCAGAUCUCAAAAAGACGCGAGCUCGGAUGGGAGCUAACAGGUUGAAGGAAUUACAGAGAACUGCUACUUGAACUUCUUUAUAAAGUCUACUUGAUGGUUUUUACAUAGAGCCUGAUUGAAAUUUGUAAGUUAUUAAAUCUUUUUACAUUGUAAUGUAUUCAUGAGGGGAGUUCUCAUCAAAUACUUAGAUAUACUUCGUCUCUUGCCCAAAUUGAACGCCAUUUUUAUUAACUUCCUAAUGUGAACUUUUGAUCUCUCCUUAAA